rnacentral:rRNA from 1 species
UACGUAGGGUGCGAGCGUUGUCCGGAAUUAUUGGGCGUAAAGAGCUCGUAGGCGGUUUGUCGCGUCGACUGUGAAAACCCGAGGCUUAACCUCGGGCCUGCAGUCGAUACGGGCAGACUAGAGUGCGGUAGGGGAGACUGGAAUUCCUGGUGUAGCGGUGAAAUGCGCAGAUAUCAGGAGGAACACCGGUGGCGAAGGCGGGUCUCUGGGCCGAUACUGACGCUGAGGAGCGAAAGCGUGGGGAGCGAACAGG